rnacentral:tRNA from 1 species
CAGAUUAGAGCUUGAUAUAAAGUAUUUUAUUUACACUAAAAGGAUAAUUUAAUAAUUUGAUCUGA